rnacentral:lncRNA from 1 species
UCUUUUUUUUUUUUUUUUUUUUUUUAAAAAAAAAAGAUAACUUCAUUAGAAACACAGAAACAAAGCCCAUUCCUUGGCUGGUGUAAAACAGCCCAGCUGCAUGGCAAGCAAAAGAACGAUGGCUAAUUUACCAGGGAAGGCUUUGGCUUGUAUAUUCUUGUUUGGUUUUCUUUUCCUUCAUCCUGACCCUUUCCCUCACUUUUUAAAAAAUGUCUGUUAUGGUUCUUUAGGCUUGUCAUAGUCACAUCUCCUAAGACUGAUGUAACUGGAGAACUUCCCUUUAGAAAGCAACAAAGCUUUCCCCAGUUUAUUUAGCAACUGAUACAUGGACUACAGAUUAAAUUGGGACUUUAAUUCACACUUAAGAAAAUGAGGGGCCAAACUUCACUCAACUAGUCUGUUUCACUAUGAUGCUGCUAGAAACAUUGCUUAAUGAAGACAUACUAAGUUAGACAUAAACAAUGUUCUGUAUUUCAUAGUUUUUUCUCCACCAGCAUAUAUUGGCUAGAUUGCUUAGCUGUCUUUUUCUGGAGUUUCAUUGUCAUUAUUCAGCCAAGAGAAGUGCAACUCUACAAUUACGAUGUUUUCUAGCAGAUCUGUUAAGAGAAAAGGUAAUAAACACUAAGGUCACAAACAUUUGCUAGGUUGUCCUUUUAAAUGCAUGUGCAAGCUGCAUUUCUCCUUUAUUUCUAAGCCAUGGUUUAUAAAUAAUUAGAUUUCUACCAAUCUUAUUAGACUUGUAUAAUUUACGCAAGAUUAUAUGCUUUAAAAUAUAAAUCAGUACACACCUAUCAUCAGCUUUGGUGGCAUCAUAGACCUGAAACCGGACAAUACUUUUAUAUUUGCUCUCCUUAGGCUUUUGCAUGCAUAUGACAACAGGCAGGCCUGAGAAAACACUGCCUUUUGACUUUUAACAUUUUAGCUACUCCAAGUUGUAGACUAUAUAAAGCUGUAAGUCUCUUCACUUUAUAAUGUGGUUCUUAUAACAACGCUAUCUGGCAACCAACAGCAUCCACCAUGAAAUACUUGAUAGAUUUAUGUUGUAAUGUGUUGCAGCAUGUAAAUAAUGUAACUUCUCUGCAAUAAAGCACAUUUAUAUG